rnacentral:rRNA from 1 species
CAUAUAAGUAAGCGGAGGAAAAGAAACUAAAUAGGAUUCCCUUAGUAAUGGCGAAUGAACAGGGAUCAGCUCAGUAUGGAAAUCGGGGCUUCCCAGCCUUGAAUUGUAGUCUCAAGAGGUAUCGCCAACGGAGGCGCAGAUGUAAGCCUCUUGGAAAAGAGCAUCAAUGAGGGUGAGAAUCCCGUUUGUCAUCUGCAGUCCCCCGUGCACGGUGUAUCUUCUAAGAGUCGCGUUCCUCGGGAUUGGAGCGUAAAGUGGGUGGUAAAUUUCAUCUAAGGCUAAAUAUGGGUUCGAGACCGAUAGCAAACAAGUACCAUGAGGGAAAGAUGAAAAGGACUUUGAAAAGAGAGUUAAAAGUGCCUGAAAUUGCUGAAAGGGAAGCGAAUGGAACCAGUGCUCUUGGCGAGAUUGUUGUGCGCUAUGGUGAUUGCUGGCUGCUUCAGCGCAAGCGGGGUAGUUGGUACUGAGCCUGCCGCGCGCAGUGUUUCUUACCUUGUGCGUCACCGUCGGUUCACAGGCGAGGAUACUUCUGAGGACAUGGUAACUCUUCCACGGAGGUGUGAAUGUCUUUGGUAAUACUCGUUUGUAGACCGCUCACCUUCGGGUUACGAUGACUAAAUGGUUCUAUUCGACCCGUCUU